GACGAACGCUGGCGGCGUGCUUAACACAUGCAAGUCGAACGGAAAGGCCCUGCUUUUGUGGGGUGUUCGAGUGGCGAACGGGUGAGUAACACGUGAGUAACCUGCCCUUGACCUUGGGAUAACUUCAGGAAACUGGGGCUAAUACCGGAUAGGAGCUCCUGCUGCAUGGUGGGGGUUGGAAAGUUUCGGCGGUUGGGGAUGGACUCGCGGCUUAUCAGCUUGUUGGUGGGGUAGUGGCUUACCAAGGCUUUGACGGGUAGCCGGCCUGAGAGGGUGACCGGCCACAUUGGGACUGAGAUACGGCCCAGACUCCUACGGGAGGCAGCAGUGGGGAAUAUUGCACAAUGGGCGGAAGCCUGAUGCAGCAACGCCGCGUGCGGGAUGACGGCCUUCGGGUUGUAAACCGCUUUCGCCUGUGACGAAGCGUGAGUGACGGUAAUGGGUAAAGAAGCACCGGCUAACUACGUG
rnacentral:rRNA from 1 species